UACGUAGGGGCCAAGCGUUGUCCGGAUUUAUUGGGCGUAAAGAGCGUGUAGGCGGUUCGGUAGGUCCGUUGUGAAAACUCGAGGCUCAACCUCGAGACGCCGAUGGAAACCCCCGAACUAGAGUCCGGAAGAGGAGAAUGGAAUUCCUGGUGUAGCGGUGAAAUGCGCAGAUAUCAGGAAGAACACCCGUGGCUAAGGCGGUUCUCUAGUACGGUACUGACGCUGAGACGCGAAAGCGUGGGGAGCGAACAGG
rnacentral:rRNA from 1 species